UACAAUCGGCUGGCGGGCGCGUGGUGGCCGAGGUGAAGGCAGUGCGCGCGGUGUCCGACGCGCCCGCGCUCUUGCUGGCCGAGCCCGAGCACACGCAAGAAGAUAGAUUUGUGUACCUUGCGCUGGAGUUGCAAAUAGUGCCAGUGAAUUACGAGUGGGUGUUAAACUGCCUGGGUAGCUACACCCUCAGUCCCAUACACGAGCUGCUCCUGUGUCCAGCACCGCUGCUGCCGCAGGCCACCGCCGCGUGGCCGGCAGAGCUGAUGUCGCGCGAUUUUGAAUCUUAAUACCUUUUCUAUCGUUAUAAUGUUGAAUAAAGUUAUUAUGGCAUUUAUUAUGA